GAUAAAUUCAAGAAAAGGAAGUCUUCUUCUCCCAACAUACAAUACUCUCAUUCGAUACAUACACAUACUCUAACCACCGAAAUCUCGGUCGUUCCCCCUAGCCGCCGCGGCACUUGCAUCCGUCGUGGGGUCUAACCGGCCAUCAUCACCAUCUUCCCCCUUGUCUCAUAUCUUCUUCGUCAUUUUUAGAUCAAAGAUUGAACACCCAAUUUCCCCUUCUUCAAUUCUUGUGGAAACAAGUAGAAACAAUCUCUCCCUUUCACGUUCUAAAACUCCUCUCCGGCAAAACUCGGCAUCGCCGCUGCCACCGUUCUCCGCCGACGCUGCUGUCUGCCGCCGUUCACUGAUGCAUCAAGCACCGCCACCGCGUAGCCGAGUAGCCGUGCCUGCUGCUGCUGAGUUCAGCCCGGUGCUGUCCGCCGCCGCCAUCGCCGCACAGCCCUCUGCUUUGAGCAACCGCUGUUGUUCACACACCGGAUUCCAGCUCCGCUGCUCCCUCGGUUCUCUAACCUUGACACCAUAUGGCUCCAGGCGAUUAUGUAUUGUUAAGUUGCAAAUUGAUUGCUAAGUAUCUCUGAAUAUUUCUUAUUAUAGACGGUUUUUCGGUUUAAGGUUUUUCGAUAUUUCGGUUUUUUAUAUAAUUUCGGUUUUUCGGUUUA